AAUCCCCGACGCUCCUCUCUCUCACACACACACACACCGAUGAUUGCAGAGAGAUUACUGGCAAACAGGGAAAGCUUGCUCGAUUUUAUUUUGUGGGUACACUCCCAGCCGCAAGCAAUUUGUGUACUUCGUCCUUUCGUUUCUCCUUUCCGUCCAACCAAUGCUCUGCUUUCACUCAUACCUUUCAGGCUGGACCUGAGCAGUUGGAACUCUCCUUAAAAGAUGGCAAGUCGGUCUCAUACCCUCAUCUACUUCCAAAUGAAAUUCACCAACAAGGAAUCCAAGACCUGCAAGAACAUCUGUAUGAUUUGUUAUGGACCAGGCCAGACCCCCUCAAAAUAUUUUGAGAAGG